rnacentral:rRNA from 1 species
UACGUAGGGUGCAAGCGUUUGUCCGGAAUUAUUGGGCGUAAAGAGCUCGUAGGCGGUUUGUCGCGUCUGCUGUGAAAACUCGGGGCUUAACCCCGGGCCUGCAGUGGGUACGGGCAGACUAGAGUGCGGUAGGGGAGACUGGAAUUCCUGGUGUAGCGGUGAAAUGCGCAGAUAUCAGGAGGAACACCGAUGGCGAAGGCAGAUCUCUGGGCCGUAACUGACGCUGAGGAGCGAAAGCAUGGGGAGCGAACAGG